UAAGUUUAUCCUGCUCAAAUCAACGCUGCGGCCGCUUAACACAUCAAUCGACGAGAAAGUGACAAUCCAUAGUCACGGCGUACGGGUAGUAACACGUGGGUAAUCUACCUUUUAGUGGGGAAUAACCCUGGAAACCGGGGCUAAUACCGCAUAAGCCUAGAAGGGAAAGCAGCAAUGCGCUGAAAGAGGAGCCCGCGGCCGAUUAGCUAGUUGGUGAGGUAAAGGCUCACCAAGGCGGUGAUCGGUAGCCGGCCUGAGAGGGCACACGGCCACACUGGCACUGAAACACGGGCCAGACUCCUACGGGAGGCAGCAGUGGGGAAUCUUGCACAAUGGAGGCAACUCUGAUGCAGCGACGCCGCGUGAGCGAUAAGCCCUUCGGGGUGUAAAGCUCUUUCGGCAGGGACGAUAAUGACGAACCUGAA
rnacentral:rRNA from 1 species